rnacentral:rRNA from 1 species
AGUGAACGCUGGCGGUAGGCCUAACACAUGCAAGUCGAACGGCAGCACAGUAAGAGCUUGCUCUUACGGGUGGCGAGUGGCGGACGGGUGAGGAAUACAUCGGAAUCUACUUUUUCGUGGGGGAUAACGUAGGGAAACUUACGCUAAUACCGCAUACGACCUACGGGUGAAAGCAGGGGAUCUUCGGACCUUGCGCGAUUGAAUGAGCCGAUGUCGGAUUAGCUAGUUGGCGGGGUAAAGGCCCACCAAGGCGACGAUCCGUAGCUGGUCUGAGAGGACGGCACGCAACAGUGGGACUGAGACACGGCCCAGACGCCGCCGGGAGGGGCCACGGGGGAAGAUCGGACAAGUGGAGUAAUCUUUACCCCGCCCUACCGCGGAAGGGAAGAAGGCUUUAUGGUUCCAGAGCCCUCUGGCGGGGAAAGAAAAGCAGCAGGUGAAUACCCAGCUGCUCUGACGGUACCCAAAGAAUAAGCACCGGCUAACUUCGUG